rnacentral:rRNA from 1 species
AUGCACCUACGGGGCGCAGCAGUGAGGAAUAUUGGUCAAUGGGCGAGAGCCUGAACCAGCCAAGUCGCGUGAGGGAAGACGGUCCUAUGGAUUGUAAACCUCUUUUGCCGGGGAGCAAAAAGCGGUACGUGUACCGCAUCGAGAGUACCCGGAGAAAAAGCAUCGGCUAACUCCGUGCCAGCAGCCGCGGUAAUACGGAGGAUGCGAGCGUUAUCCGGAUUUAUUGGGUUUAAAGGGUGCGAAGGCGGUCCGUUAAGUCAGAGGUAAA